CACUGGGUUAGAUAUUCUCACUUUCAUCCCAGAUUCACUUCCUUUCCUUCUCUGCCCACUAGAAAGGCUGACUGCUAUAAGCUGUAUAGAUCACAUCAUAAGACUGUCUUUUUCCUCUGGCUUCUUGUAUAUUUUGGCAGUGGAGAGCUCAAUAAGAGAAACAUUGGGCAUUUAUUCAUUCUUCCUUCCAGAACCCUCCCUGAUGUGUUAUGAAUGUGCCAGUAGCUGGGUUAUUUUAUUUAGGACCAAAGUGAUAACCGAGUUGCCUCUCUCACAAGGUUGCAACACCAGCCAUGUUCAUGGAAUCCAAUUGUCUUCUGUGGCCAUUCAAACCUAGGGACAAUUGAGACUUUUCACAUUUUCUCAUCCCUAAGUGUUUCACCAGCACUUGCUAAUUUUCUUACCUGGGAAAUAAAUCCCUUCAUUAGUUUCUCUUCAUGUAACCAUUUUGUGUAUGCCUUCUUUCCUUUGGGACCCUGAUUGCUAUGCCCCUCCCACUUCCAAGUUUUUGUUUUGUAACUCUCCUUGGUCAGUCAACAUCACUGAACAUUCAUGUGCCAGACACAGUUUUGUAAUGAGUACCCCCAUUUUUAUAAGAGAUAAUGUAUUUUUUCUCUUUUCUUUUUUCCCUACUUCCUACUUAGCUCUUUAGACAUGCAAUUAUAACCUUUUACCUUCCUUUUUCCAGACACUCCCUACAGGGCAAGUUCAUCUAACUAUGUGCUUAGAAGCUCCAGAGCAGAACUCCCUCUCACCAGGAGAUCACCUCGAGAGACAACAGUCAAUGUACAACCUGAAGUGCCUGCUACAAAACUGUCUCCCACCAGGAGAGUUUUGGCCACGUUUACAACCUAGUUCUGCCCAUGAAGGCACCAGCUGUCACCAGCUCAACCACGCAGUAGAUUAGGCACUGCAGUGAGUUACAUGACCCCACCUGCAUUUCCCUCCCCUGUGAGCCAUUCAUGCCAAGAUGCCUUUUAAAAGUGCCUGCUUUCUGCUCCAAAAGUAAGCAGUACUCUUAAGGCAGGAAGCCUAUACUUCUUCCCUUAAGCUAGCUUUGGAAUAAAAAGUCACUUUCUUUAUACUAGAACUUGCUCUUGUGAAUUGGACUCGGCAGGUGGCAAGUGACUGAAUCUGCAUUUUGGUUACAGUAUAAGGCAUUGGCGACUCACUGACAAACAAGUUGCACUUCCUGAAGAGAGUGUGCAACUAUGGUCCACUGAAAGAGACAUCCAGAAAGGUAUGCAGUUAUGGCUCAGUGUGAUAGGUGCUUCAAAAAGGAUAAAGAAGUCCCAUGGGGACACAGGAAAACUAGAAGGACUACAGGGGAUGGGGGAGCAGGAAAGCUGGGGGGCCAGAGGUAUAUUUCAGAGCAAUUAGAACAGAAAGACAAGUAUAGUCUGUCCACGGAAAUGGCAGCAAACAGGGAAGAGAGAACAGCUAGAAGGCAUUUCAGGAAGGGGACCCAGCAUGGGCAAAGUCCUGGAGUGGAGCCACAGUGCAUUCUUUGUGGGAAAUUGUAAGUCAUGGGGUAUGGCUAGAAUCUGUGUGGGGGCAUGAAAUGGGAUAAUGCUCAAAAGGAAGGGAGAGCAGAUGAAGAAGGGCCUGGAAAAUCAUAACACAUUUGUAUUGUAAGCCGAGGUCAUUGAAGGGCUGUCUGGAGGGUUUUAAGUGGAGGCAGAAAUGUUAUCAUAUGUGGACUUCAACUGAACAUGGCGGUUCACGCCUGUAGUCUGAGCUACUUGGAAGCUAAGGCAAAAUGAUCACUUGAGCCCAGGAGUUCAAGGCUGCUGUGAACUAUGAUCGUACUGGUGCCCACCAGUCAAAGAAAGCUCACUCUAGGGACUGAAUACUUCAGAAGCAUUUGUAAACAUCACAAGCUAUGAGAGAGGGUGAUAGAUAACAAGUGGUGAAAUGUGAAUUUAGAGUGUUUUUUUUUUAAUUUUUUUAUGAAGGCCAGUAAACACACACAAUGUAAGGUCUUGUGAUGCAGAAGAAUAGAGGUGGAAAAACUCCUGGGUUUUGAAAAGGUUAAGGACAUUAGCCCAAAAAGCAACAUAAAUGCAUGUUAAAAAAUAAAAGAAGCUUUCUCAUAUAAACAAAACUUCAUAAAUUACAUACAUAAUGUGUAUGUAUACAGUCUAGGAAAUGAUUUCAAUGAAAAUAAAAGAGAAUAAGACAACUACCUAGCUUUUGGCUGUUUCCAUUUUAAAAUAAGAUUGGGAAAGGUAUAAGGGGAAAAUAUUUAUUUUUGAAAUGUAGAAAAAUAAGGUGAUAAAUUUCUGCCAGGGAAAAUAUGUGCAGGGAAACUUGUUGCUCUUUCUUUGCUGAAAAAGACCUGCUGUGGCAAGUUCCACAGAUGGAAGAGUUUGAUUAGUUUUGGGAAAGUGGACUUGUGAAGUGGGGACAUGAACAGAUUGUUCUAUUACUGCCUGUUAGUAUGGCAAUGCAUAUUUUGCUAAUUUUCACUUAACCUCUUCUUGAUUUAGUGGCUGUCAAUGACAGAAGUGAGAAAUAAGACUGCAGGACUUACUUAGAAGCCACAUUUUUCUUCUGGUCCAUAAACUGUGAAUCUUUGUAUGGUUUGCAAAACCAACGACCCCAGAGGUCAAGCAGG
rnacentral:lncRNA from 1 species